AACUGCCUCUGAUACUGCUAAUGAUGACAACAAUGAUGGGGAUGAUGAUGACGAUGAUGACGAUGAUGAUGAUGAUGAUGCUGACAAUGAUGCAAAUGAUGAACCAAUCCACAAAAAGCCCAAAACCUUAUAAAAUUAAUUGGUCUUCCAGUGCCUAUCGCUAACGACCCUCCCCUUCCCCAUGAAACCACCGACGUCCUUGUACUUGCACGGCCCCCUGGCGGUCCUUGUGUUGUGUGGGGUGACGUUAACCUGGGACACGCCGUUAUUUGAGCAGUACCACGAGCACUACAUGUCGCACGCGAACUACCACGGUGUCGAUGUGUUUACAGAGGACCUGAACGCCCCAAACGGACCGGAGAAGGUGAUGGAAAGGUUCUAUGUGUGUUUUGGACGCGACGGGCGCAAGACCUACUUCAAGAAGCUGGACGAAACGUAUUUCUCCAAUAGGAGGUUCUGGAUUAUUACGGCGACUGGCAAGUUCGUGGCAUCUAUGAAGACUUGUUGAGCAGCGUGGUGGGGAUUCUAGCGAGAGAUUUCUUUACACAAGCGAGCAUUAGGAGGUCAUCGUAGCGAGAGAUCUCUUUGCACAAGCAAACAUGCACUUGGUAUCUUUGAGAACAUGUUGAGCAGUGAUCGUAGCGAGAGAUAACGUGGCAAAAGCGAACUGAUUUGGAUGUCAUUUUAGCGAGAGAUCUCAUUGGCCAUGGCGUACAAGCACUCUGGGGAUUGAGAACAUCCCAUAAGAUGGGAACGCCGAGAUUGCACUUAUGGCAGACGUUGUGAUCAAGCUAAAAUCACGUUAGGAUCACGUUGGGAUCAUGGAGGGGUGGUAUUUGUGCAAGGCAGACAAGGCAAGGGACAGACGAGUCAGUACGCCCGAUUAGGCGGGUAAAAAUCAAACUGCAUUUGUACAAGUCAGGGGACAGUUGCAUCAAACCGUUAUAAAAAAAAAGAAUGACUGUCCGGUCAGCGGUCCAGAAUUGUUUUGUGGGAGUUGAACUGCUGGCAAGCUAAUUUCUAACAUCUAUACUCAUGAAAAAUAUCAUUACUGGAAUUGAAUUACCUAAUGAUUCAUUGUUAAGAUAAAAAGCGCUAAACAACAGAUAGAGUCCACAGAC